ensembl:ncRNA F28D1.21 ncRNA
CCCAUUGACCUACUAAUUGUCUAAGCUCUCCUCAAUCCACGUACUGUUUCAUCCCUACGACGGAACGGUCGUUUGAGAAUUCAAAAGUUAUGAGAGGUUUAUCCGCCUCAUUUCAUCGUUUUGUACUUUCUCGUAACUGGUUUCAAAUGAGCUGGAAAUAGGGGAACAUUUAUGGCAGUUGAUUCAAUAUAUGGUACCGAAUGGUAGGCAAG